UACGUAGGGGGCAAGCGUUAUCCGGAAUCACUGGGCGUAAAGGGAGUGUAGGCGGUCAAGCAAGUCAGGGGUGAAAGGCAUCGGCUCAACCGAUGUAAGCCUUUGAAACUGUUUGACUUGAGUGCAGGAGAGGUAAGUGGAAUUCCUAGUGUAGCGGUGAAAUGCGUAGAUAUUAGGAGGAACACCAGUGGCGAAGGCGACUUACUGGACUGUAACUGACGCUGAGGCUCGAAGGCGUGGGGAGCGAACAGGAUUAGAUACCCUGGUAGUCCACGCCGUAAACGAUGAACACUAGGUGUCUGGGGUCGAACCUAGGUGCCGCAGCUAACGCAUUAAGUGUUCCGCCUGGGGAGUACGCACGCAAGUGUGAAACUCAAAGGAAUUGACGGGGACCCGCACAAGCAGCGGAGCAUGUGGUUUAAUUCGAAGCAACGCGAAGAACCUUACCAGGUCUUGACAUCCCGAUGACAGAAGCUUAGCCGCUUUUUUUCUUCGGAACAUCGGUGACAGGUGGUGCAUGGUUGUCGUCAGCUCGUGUCGUGAGAUGUUGGGUUAAGUCCCGCAACGAGCGCAACCCUUAUUUUUAGUUGCCAUCAGGUUAAGCUGGGCACUCUAAAGAGACUGCCGUGGACAACACGGAGGAAGGUGGGGAUGACGUCAAAUCAUCAUGCCCCUUAUGAUCUGGGCUACACACGUGCUACAAUGGUCGGUACAACGGGCAGCGAAGGGGUGACCUGGAGCGAAUCCUUUAAAGCCGAUCUCAGUUCGGAUUGUAGGCUGAAACUCGCCUACAUGAAGUUGGAGUUGCUAGUAAUCGUGGAUCAGAAUGCCGCGGUGAAUGCGUUCCCGGGUCU
rnacentral:rRNA from 1 species